GACGAACGCUGGCGGCGUGCCUAAUACAUGCAAGUCGAGCGGACUGAUUAAGAGCUUGCUCUUAUGACGUUAGCGGCGGACGGGUGAGUAACACGUGGGCAACCUGCCCUGUAGAUCGGGAUAACACCGAGAAAUCGGUGCUAAUACCGGGUAAUAUCUGAGAUCACAUGAUCUUAGGUUAAAAGAUGGCUCCGGCUAUCACUACAGGAUGGGCCCGCGGCGCAUUAGCUAGAUGGUAAGGUAAUGGCUUACCAAGGCGACGAUGCGUAGCCGACCUGAGAGGGUGAUCGGCCACACUGGGACUGAGACACGGCCCAGACUCCUACGGGAGGCAGCAGUAGGGAAUCUUCCGCAAUGGACGAAAGUCUGACGGAGCAACGCCGCGUGAGUGAUGAAGGGUUUCGGCUCGUAAAGCUCUGUUGUUAGGGAAGAAACAGUACCGAACGAACUAGGUCGGUACCUUGACGGUACCUAACCAGAAAGCCACGGCUAACUACGUG
rnacentral:rRNA from 1 species